GCCCGCCUAGCUCAAUCGGAUAGAGCGUCAGACUCUUAUUGGAUCUUGGUCGAAAUUGCAAUUGGGCAUCUGAAGGCUGCGAGUUCGACCCUCGCGGUGGGCU